CAGCAGCCCACUUGGUGCUCUACUCCACUGUAGCUGACGUGGUACCCAAGCUGCAAGACAAAGUCCCCCUUUCUCCUCUCUCUACUUUCCUCAAGGAGAAGGAGUCUCUCUCCCCAUAGCCACCACAUCUGGGAAGGUCCUGGGUCACAUCUGAAGCCAGCAUGGCUCUGAGCCUCACCCAAGGCCUGCAACAAGUAAUUCUUGGAUAGUGCUGCUGAUUAUUCAGGACUCAGGGGCUCUGUAGUCAGUUGGUGAUGAAUCCUGCCAGGACUGGGUCCUUCUCUUCAAGGGAGCAGGUUUCCUCCUAUUCCGGGGUGUGUCUAGAAAUGUCAUCCAGGAUGCUCAAUUUAGCUGUGCACAUUAAACUGCUCUUAAAACAAGGAUGAGCUGUAGAUGAAUUUUUUUAAAUGCAGGAUUCACAGGCAAUAUGAAUUUCAAGUAAGCAAUGGAUAAAUGUUUUAGUGUAAGUAUAUCCCAUGCUAUAUUUGGGACAUACUUAUCUUAAACAUUUUUUUUGCUGGCAAGCUUACUUUAGAGAGAGAUGUAAGAAGAGUCAGAAAAUUCAGAGAAGUGGGUAUUGUUUCUUAGUGAACGAGGGGCCAGAGGGUUUGGACCAGUGGUUUCUGGUUCUGAGGAGGGAUGUGGCCACCUGACUGCCUCUGCUUCCUCUCCCAGAUGGAAGGUGCAGGUCUCUGUUGUAUAAAAGGAGGAGGCCAGAGCCCUAGGCUUUGCUUAAAACAGUCUCAGAAAUAGGCAGGUCUGCUGUGUUUCCCCAUCCAAGGACCCAGUCACACCUCGCUUAGAGGUGGACGGCAUCCCCUGGUCCUGUGGCAGCAUCCCCUGGUCUGGUGUGGGCACCACAGGCACGGCUGUAGGGGCAGCCCACAGGCCAGGCUUCAUGGACGAGCUGCUGCAAGUUACAGCAUUUCAGAUG
rnacentral:lncRNA from 1 species